rnacentral:rRNA from 1 species
UACGUAGGGUCCGAGCGUUGUUCGGAAUUACUGGGCGUAAAGGCUCGUAGGUGGCCAACUAAGUCAGACGUGAAAUCCCUCGGCUUAACCGGGGAACUGCAUCUGAUACUGGAUGGCUUGAGUUUGGGAGAGGGACGCGGAAUUCCAGGUGUAGCGGUGAAAUGCGUAGAUAUCUGGAGGAACACCGGUGGCGAAGGCGGCGUCCUGGACCAACACUGACACUGAGGAGCGAAAGCCAGGGGAGCAAACGGG